GAUGAACGCUAGCGGCAGGCUUAAUACAUGCAAGGCGAAGGGGCAGCAAUGUCACUGUCGUACGGGUGCGUAACGCGUAUGCAACCUACCUAUAACUGGGGGAUAGCCCGGGGAAACCCGGAUUAAUACCGCAUAAUACAUGGAUGUAGCAUUACAUUUUUUGUUAAAGAUUUAUUGGUUAUAGAUGGGCAUGCGUUCGAUUAGCUAGUUGGUAUGGGUAACGGCCUACCAAGGCGACGAUCGAUAGGGGAGCUGAGAGGUUGAUCCCCCACACGGGCACUGAGAUACGGGCCCGACUCCUACGGGAGGCAGCAGUAGGGAAUAUUGGGCAAUGGAUGCAAGUCUGACCCAGCCAUGCCGCGUGCCGGAUGAAGGCCCUCAGGGUUGUAAACGGCUUUUAUUCGGGAAGAAGAGCAGGGAUGCGUCCUUGUGUGACGGUACCGAAUGAAUAAGCACCGGCUAACUCCGUGCCAGCAGCCGCGGUAAUACGGAGGGUGCGAGCGUUGUCCGGAUUUAUUGGGUUUAAAGGGUGCGUAGGUGGCUUUAUAAGUCAGUGGUGAAAUACAGCCGCUCAACGGUUGAGGUGCCAUUGAUACUGUAGAGCUUGAAAUAAUUGGAGGCUGCCGGAAUGGAUGGUGUAGCGGUGAAAUGCAUAGAUAUCAUCCAGAACACCGAUUGCGAAGGCAGGUGGCUACGAUUUAUUUGACACUGAGGCACGAAAGCAUGGGGAGCAAACAGGAUUAGAUACCCUGGUAGUCCAUGCCGUAAACGAUGAGGACUCGCUGUUUGGCUGUCACGGCUGAGCGGCUUAGGGAAACCGUUAAGUCCUCCACCUGGGGAGUACGCCGGCAACGGUG
rnacentral:rRNA from 1 species